rnacentral:SRP_RNA from 13 species
GCCAGGAACGGUGGCGCGUGCCUGAAGUCCCAGCUACCGGGGAGGCUGAGGUGGGAGGAUCUCGUGUCCAGGAGUUCUGGGCUGUUGUGCGCUGUGCCGAUCGGGCGUCCACACUGAGUUUGGCAUCGAUAUGGUGACCUCCCAGGAGCAGGGAACCACCAGCUGCCUAAGGAGGGGUGAACCGGCCCAGGUCGGAAACGGAGCAGGUCAAAACUCCCGGGCUGAUCACUGGUGGGAUGGUGCCUGUGAAUAGCCACUGCACUCCAGCCUGGGCAACAUGGCGAGACCCUGUCUCUU